rnacentral:rRNA from 1 species
AGUAUUAGUUAUGAUCUUAAAACCCAAAGAAUUUGGCGGUACUUUAUUCCAUUCAGAGGAACCUAUCCCAUAAUUGAUAGUACACGAUUAACUUUACUUAAUUUAUUUGUUUGUAUAUCUCCGUUAUCAGAAGAUCUUUUUAGAGUUAUAAUUUUCUUAAUUUAUAAUUAUAAAAUAUUUCAGGUCAAGGUGCAGUUUAUAAUUAAGAGGAGGUGGGUUACAAUAAAUUUUAUUUAUAACGAAUUUAAUAAUAAAUAAUUAUUAAUGAAGGUGGAUUUGAUAGUAAUUUAAUUUAUUUAAUUUAAUUGAUUUUGGUUCUAAGGUGUGU